rnacentral:misc_RNA from 1 species
UCGAGCGUCAUUACAACCCUCAAGCUCUGCUUGGUAUUGGGCCCCGCCGGCACCCGGCAGGCCUUAAAAUCAGUGGCGGCGCCAUUCGGCUUCAAGCGUAGUAAUUCUUCUCGCUUCGGAGACCCGGGUGUGUGCUAGCCAGCAACCCCCAAUUUUUUCAGGUUGACCUCGGAUCAGGUAGGGAUACCCGCUGAACUUAA